rnacentral:lncRNA from 1 species
GUUUAUUUUUGGGGAAAAAUGGGUGAGAAUUGUCUCUCCAUUUUCUCUCUAAAGAGGCCAACACCUUGGAGGUGAUUAGCUAGUCAUCUAAUCCUCCAAGGUCACUCAUUCAUCAUCCAAUCUCUCCUUGGUGUAGAGACUUAGAGGUUCUCAAUUUUGGGAACUUGGAGAACCUAUUCUUCCAUACAAAUCCAUGGAUCUAAGAAGCAAGGAAUGAAGGCCCCUAUCUCUUUGGGUGAUUAGCCUUUGCUUAUGCAAAGAGGAAUCUACAAAGGUAUUAAUUUCAACUCACUUAUUUUUGAGUUGAUUAUUGGUUCACCAAUCUACUAGGCUUUGAAUUUCAUGGGUAAAUGUUUUGUUUUUGAGUGCAUGUAAGCAUGAUUCCGCCUUUAAUUGUUAAUUGCAUGCUAUAUGAUGUUGCUCAAAUGAACAUGUUUUACAAAAUAAUUCCUUCAAGUCUAGAGAAUCCUUUCUUGAAGAAAAGGAAGAUCACAUUAUAAUGAUAUAAGUAAUAAGAAAAACGUUUCUUAUAUGGUUAUCACUUGAAACACAAUGAUCAAGAUCACUCUUGAUUCAAUUAGUAGUUUUGAACAAUUAAUUGGGCAUUCUUAAAAUUGUUUUAAAAUGUCAAAUGUGUUAGUGAUUAAACCAAGAAAGAAGUGUCUAAAUCUAUAAAAGGUUUAAAGACUUUAGUCACUUAAAUAACA